AUGUCUCUCUGUGUGUAUGAGUCUCUACCUCUGUCUCUCAGCACAGAAACACCUGGUCUCUUUAUCUGUUUUACUCUCUCUCUCUCUCUCUCUCUCUCUCUCUCUCUCUCUCUCUCUCUCUCUCUCUGUCUCUCUCUCUCUCUCUCGUUUCUGUUUGUGUAUUUCUGUGUCUCUCCCUAUCUCUCAGCACAGAAACACCUAGAUUUAUCUCUAUCUCUCUGUAUGUGUCUGCCUCUUUCUUUGUCUCUGUGUCUCCACCUUUGUCUCUCAGCACAGAAACACCUAGACUAUUUCUGUCUCUGCGUCUCUCUCUUCCUCUCUUGUGUGUUUAUUUCUCUGUCUCUCCCUCUCAGUACAGAAACACCUACAUUUAUCUUUGUAUCUGUGUGUGUGUGUGUGUGUAUGUGUGUGUGUGUCUACCUCUGUCUCCUAGCAAAGAAACACCUGGACACUCUAUCUCUGUUUUACUCUUUCUCUCUGUAUCUCUUUGUCUCUCUCUCAUUCACUCUGUCUCUCUCUUUUGCACGUUUGUGUAUUUCUCUGUGUCUCUACCUGUCUCUCAGCACAGAAACACCUAAACCAUCUCUGUCUUACUCUUUCUGUCUCUCUCCUCUCUUUGUCUCUCUGUCUCUCCUUCUAUCUCCAUCUCUCUCUCUCUCUCUCUCUCUCUCUCUCUCUCUCUCUCUCUCUCUCUCUCUCUCUCUCUCUCUCCAUCUCUGUCUCUCCUUUCUACGGGUUUGUGUAUUUCCCUGUGUCUCUAUCAGCACAGAAACGCUUAAAUUAUUUGUCUCUUUCUUUUUCUGUCUCUCUCGCUCUCUGAGAUUCACUUUAUGCAUGUGUUUUUCUGUGUCUCUGUGUACCUACCUCGGUAUCUCAACACUGAAACAUCUGGACUCUUUAUCUCUUUCUCUCUGUCUCUAUCUCCCUUCGUUUCUCUCUCUGUGUCCCUUUCUCUUUGUCUCUCCCUUUCUAUCUCUGUGUGUGUCUGCGUCUCCACCUCUAUCUUUCGGCAAAGAAAUGCCUGGAAUAUUUAUCUCUCUCUGUUUUUCUCUGUCUCUAUCUCCUCUCUCUGUUUCUCUUUCUCUUUUGUGUAUGUGUGUGUAUUUGUGUUUCUCUAAGCGUCUCUCAGCAUAG
rnacentral:lncRNA from 1 species